CUUUAGGUGGCAGAGUGAUGUAUUAUUGUGAGUAAAUAAAAAAAAUGCGAACGUGACGUCAAUCUACUGACAGAUGUAAACAAACAAUCGAUAUAUUUUGGUACAAGUACUGUAACAUUUGAUAACAUUAGUUACAUGCGUAACCAUGAAGAGGGUAUUUGUUACUGUAGGAACAACGAGCUUUGAUGACCUAUUUGAACGUGUUACUUCCCCUGAAGCUGUUCAAGGGAAGGUAGUUGUCUGGAGACCCUUGGUGCAGGCAAGCCACUGUUAGUGGUGUUCAAUGGCAAACUUAUGGACAUUCACCAGCUAGAGCUGGCCAGACAGCUACACCAAGACCUACUGUACUUCACUGCCAGCAAUCUCACUGAGACCUUGAGGACGAUGGACCUUUCGGUUCUCUCACCCUUCUUACCUAGACAACCAAAUCAUUUUGCCAAUUUCCUGGACAAGGCCCUUGGUGUUCAAUGAUUCCAGCGCAGGGAAAUAUCUGAGGUCGACUCUGUGUUCUUUUAUGGUCUCUGGAGAUGUUUGCACUCUGAAACUCUCCUCAUCUUUGAGAUGAACUGGCGGUGGGGUUGGACAGAGGGAAGCCUGGGCCCCAUGUGCCCGGCUUCUAGGUUCUCCUAUCAGCAUGCAGAGCAAACGCC